rnacentral:rRNA from 1 species
AGAGUUUGAUUAUGGCUCAGAUUGAACGCUGGCGGCAGGCCUAACACAUGCAAGUCGAACGGUAACAGGAAGCAGCUUGCUGCUUCGCUGACGAGUGGCGGACGGGUGAGUAAUGUCUGGGAAACUGCCUGAUGGAGGGGGAUAACUACUGGAAACGGUAGCUAAUACCGCAUAACGUCGCAAGACCAAAGAGGGGGACCUUAGGGCCUCUUGCCAUCGGAUGUGCCCAGAUGGGAUUAGCUAGUAGGUGGGGUAACGGCUCACCUAGGCGACGAUCCCUAGCUGGUCUGAGAGGAUGACCAGCCACACUGGAACUGAGACACGGUCCAGACUCCUACGGGAGGCAGCAGUGGGGAAUAUUGCACAAUGGGCGCAAGCCUGAUGCAGCCAUNCCGCGUGUAUGAAGAAGGCCUUCGGGUUGUAAAGUACUUUCAGCGGGGAGGAAGGGAGUAAAGUUAAUACCUUUGCUCAUUGACGUUACCCGCAGAAGAAGCNCNGNCUNACUCCGUGCCAGCANCCNCGGUAANNAGGGCGAAGAAGGCCUUCGGGUUGUAAAGUACUUUCAGCGGGGAGGAAGGGAGUAAAGUUAAUACCUUUGCUCAUUGACGUUACCCGCAGAAGAAGCNCNGNCUNACUCCGUGCCAGCANCCNCGGUAANNAGGGCGCAGAAGAAGCACCGGCUAACUCCGUGCCAGCAGCCGCGGUAAUAAGGG